rnacentral:rRNA from 1 species
AAAACAUCUUUUCUUGUUAUUUAUUUGAGAUUUGACCUGCCCAAUGAUAUUUUAAUGGCCGCGGUAUUUUGACCGUGCAAAGGUAGCAUAAUCAUUAGUCAUUUAAUUGUUGACUUGUAUGAAUGGUUGGACGAAGUAUUAACUGUCUUAUUUGUAUUUUUAGAAUUUAAAUUUUGAGUUAAAAUGCUUAAAUUUUUUUAUAGGACGAGAAGACCCUGUAGAUCUUUAUUUAUUAAAUUUAUAUUAUAUUUUGGCUUAUUUAUUUAAUAUAUUUUAUUAUUUUUUGUUGGGGUGACAAGGAGAUAAAAUUAACUCUUUAUUUUUAUAUUCAUUAAUUUAUGAUUUUUUGACCUUUUAUUAAUGUUAUAAGAUAUAGAUACCUCAGGGAUAACAGCGUAAUUCUUUUUGAGAGUUCAUAUCGACAAAGGAGAUUGCGACCUCGAUGUUGGAUUAAGAUUAUAGAUAGGUGUAGAAGCUUAUUAAUUAAGUCUGUUCGACUUUUAAAAUCUUACAUGAUCUG